AACUGAAGAGUUUGAUCAUGGCUCAGAUUGAACGCUGGCGGCAGGCUUAACACAUGCAAGUCGAGCGGGGGAAGGUAGCUUGCUACCGGACCUAGCGGCGGACGGGUGAGUAAUGCUUAGGAAUCUGCCUAUUAGUGGGGGACAACAUCUCGAAAGGGAUGCUAAUACCGCAUACGUCCUACGGGAGAAAGCAGGGGAUCUUCGGACCUUGCGCUAAUAGAUGAGCCUAAGUCGGAUUAGCUAGUUGGUGGGGUAAAGGCCUACCAAGGCGACGAUCUGUAGCGGGUCUGAGAGGAUGAUCCGCCACACUGGGACUGAGACACGGCCCAGACUCCUACGGGAGGCAGCAGUGGGGAAUAUUGGACAAUGGGGGGAACCCUGAUCCAGCCAUGCCGCGUGUGUGAAGAAGGCCUUAUGGUUGUAAAGCACUUUAAGCGAGGAGGAGGCUACUUUAGUUAAUACCUAGAGAUAGUGGACGUUACUCGCAGAAUAAGCACCGGCUAACUCUGUGCCAGCAGCCGCGGUAAUACAGAGGGUGCGAGCGUUAAUCGGAUUUACUGGGCGUAAAGCGUGCGUAGGCGGCUUAUUAAGUCGGAUGUGAAAUCCCCGAGCUUAACUUGGGAAUUGCAUUCGAUACUGGUGAGCUAGAGUAUGGGAGAGGAUGGUAGAAUUCCAGGUGUAGCGGUGAAAUGCGUAGAGAUCUGGAGGAAUACCGAUGGCGAAGGCAGCCAUCUGGCCUAAUACUGACGCUGAGGUACGAAAGCAUGGGGAGCAAACAGGAUUAGAUACCCUGGUAGUCCAUGCCGUAAACG
rnacentral:rRNA from 1 species